rnacentral:rRNA from 1 species
AGGAUUAACGCUGGCGGCGUGCCUGACACAUGCAAGUCGAACGAGGCCGCAAGGCCGAGUGGCGGACGGGUGAGUAACACGUGACCAACCAACCUCGAAGUUGGGAAUAGCUCUGCGAAAGUAGGGGUAAUACCGAAUGUGGCCCAGGGCAGGCAUCUGCCUUGGUCUAAAGAUUCAUCGCUUCGAGACGGGGUCGCGGCCUAUUAGCUUGUUGGUGGGGUAACGGCUCACCAAGGCGAUGAUGGGUAGCUGGUCUGAGAGGACGACCAGCCACACUGGGACUGAGACACGGCCCAGACUCCUACGGGAGGCAGCAGUGAGGAAUCUUCCGCAAUGGGCGAAAGCCUGACGGAGCAACGCCGCGUGUGGGAUGAAGGCUCUAGGGUUGUAAACCACUGUCGGAGGGGACGAUCGUGACGGUACCCUCCAAGAAAGCCCCGGCUAACUACGUGCCAGCAGCCGC